rnacentral:rRNA from 1 species
AUUGAACGCUGGCGGCAGGCCUAACACAUGCAGGUCGAACGGUAACAGGAAGAAGCUUGCUUCUUUGCUGACGAGUGGCGGACGGGUGAGUAAUGUCUGGGAAACUGCCUGAUGGAGGGGGAUAACUACUGGAAGCGGUAGCUAAUACCGCAUAACGUCGCAAGACCAAAGAGGGGGACCUUCGGGCCUCUUGCCAUCGGAUGUGCCCAGAUGGGAUUAGCUAGUAGGUGGGGUAACGGCUCACCUAGGCGACGAUCCCUAGCUGGUCUGAGAGGAUGACCAGCCACACUGGAACUGAGACACGGUCCAGACUCCUACGGGAGGCAGCAGUGGGGAAUAUUGCACAAUGGGCGCAAGCCUGAUGCAGCCAUGCCGCGUGUAUGAAGAAGGCCUUCGGGUUGUAAAGUACUUUCAGCGGGGAGGAAGGGAGUAAAGUUAAUACCUUUACUCAUUGACGUUACCCGCAGAAGAAGCACCGGCUAACUCCGUG